UAAAAAGCAAACAGUUGCUAA
rnacentral:miRNA from 1 species